GACGAACGCUGGCGGCGUGUCUAACACAUGCAAGUCGAGCGAUGAAGCUCCUUCGGGAGUGGAUUAGCGGCGGACGGGUGAGUAACACGUGGGUAACCUGCCUCAUAGAGAGGGAUAGCCUUCCGAAAGGAAGAUUAAUACCUCAUAAGAUUGUAGUUUCGCAUGAAACGGCAAUAAAAGGAGCAGUCCGAUAGGAGAUGGACCCGCGUCGCAUUAGCUAGUUGGUCAGGUAAUGGCUUACCAAGGCGACGAUGCGUAGCCGACCUGAGAGGGUGAUCGGCCACAUUGUGACUGAGACACGUCACAGACUCCUACGGGAGGCAGCAGUGGGGAAUAUUGCACAAUGGGGGAAACCCUGAUUCAGCAACGCCGCGUUAGUGAUGACGGUCUUCGAAUUGUAAAACUCUGUCUUUGGGGACGAUAAUGACGGUACCCAAGGAGGAAGCCACGGCUAACUACGUGCCAGCCGCCGCAGUAAAAC
rnacentral:rRNA from 1 species